rnacentral:rRNA from 1 species
AUGAACGCUGGCGGCGUGCCUCAUACCUGCAAGUCGAGCGCACAGACGAGGAGCUUGCUCCUCUGACGUUAGCGGCGGACGGGUGAGUAACACGUGGAUAACCUACCUAUAAGACUGGGAUAACUUCGGGAAACCGGAGCUAAUACCGGAUAAUAUAUUGAACCGCAUGGUUCAAUAGUGAAAGACGGUUUUGCUGUCACUUAUAGAUGGAUCCGCGCCGCAUUAGCUAGUUGGUAAGGUAACGGCUUACCAAGGCAACGAUGCGUAGCCGACCUGAGAGGGUGAUCGGCCACACUGGAACUGAGACACGGUCCAGACUCCUACGGGAGGCAGCAGUAGGGAAUCUUCCGCAAUGGGCGAAAGCCUGACGGAGCAACGCCGCGUGAGUGAUGAAGAUCUUCGGAUCGUAAAACUCUGUUAUUAGGGAAGAACAAAUGUGUAAGUAACUAUGCACGUCUUGACGGUACCUAAUCAGAAAGCCACGGCUAACUACGUG